UGUUGCGCAGGACGCGGGCUGCUCUGUUUCACGAACUGCCAGCGCCGCCCGGCCGCAUGGCUGGUGUUCGACGGAUUGCCCCAGUGGGUGUCGAGUCGAAGUUGUUCCUCUUGGGGACUGCGUCUCUGAGGUUAAAGAAGUUGAGAUUUUAUUCAGGAGACUUGGCGUCAAGCACGGCGAGGACUGUGCUCAAUUGUUCUGAUGCCUGUCAAGUGACACUGCCAUACACCUGCACACUCCGAUUCCAGGAAGCUGCUGGCACAAGGCUUGGCAUUAGCUGGUAUCUGAGUUGGAAUGCAUAUGGGGAAUGACUUGGUUCGUAUUCAAUGAACUUCCCCGGAUGGACUGCAUAGUUGGUUUCCGGUGAAAUGCCUAUUGGAUGAAGUCAUGUGCAAGAUCAAUCAUUCUGGGACUGCAGAUCGUAAUCCCAUGGCUUGCUGGUCUAUCCCACGGUGGAUCGUGUACAGCUGUGUUCCGGUAGAAUACCUGAGCUACAUGCUACAACGCUUGGCAUUUGUCUGGCUUUACAAUUAUCUCAAGUCAUUCUGUCCAUCAUGGUUCAUCAUGCUGCUGUUGUGCUAUAACGCUACUUGGAUUCAUCAGGAUACAUAAAUGAACUCUGUGCUUACAUUUUUGUGCUAUUUAUUUAUAAAUAGGAUGUCGAACCCGGUCUA